rnacentral:snRNA from 1 species
GUGCUCCCUUCGGCAGCACAUAUACUAAA